rnacentral:rRNA from 1 species
UACGUAGGGGGCAAGCGUUGUCCGGAUUUAUUGGGCGUAAAGAGCGUGUAGGCGGCCAGACGAGGUCCGUUGAUGAAACUAGAGGCUUAACCUCUAGACGUCGAUGGAAACCGUCUGGCUAGAGUCCGGAAGAGGAGAAUGGAAUUCCUGGUGUAGCGGUGAAAUGCGCAGAUAUCAGGAAGAACACCCGUGGCUAAGGCGGUUCUCUAGUACGGUACUGACGCUGAGACGCGAAAGCGUGGGGAGCGAACAGG